rnacentral:misc_RNA from 1 species
AAAUGCGAUAAGUAAUGUGAAUUGCAGAAUUCAGUGAAUCAUCGAAUCUUUGAACGCACCUUGCGCUCAUUGGUAUUCCUUGGAGCAUGCCUGUUUGAGUAUCAUGAAAUCUUCAAAGUAAAUCUUUUGUUAACUCAAUUGGUUUCUACUUUGGUAUUGGAGGUCUUUGCAGCUUCACACCUGCUCCUCUUUGUUCAUUAGCUGGAUCUCAGUGUUAUGCUUGGUUCCACUCGGCGUGAUAAGUUAUCUAUCGCUGAGGACACUGUAAAAGGUGGCCAAGGUAAAUGCAGAUGAACCGCUUCUAAUAGUCCAUUGACUUGGACAAUACUUUUAUGAUCUGAUCUCAAAUCAGGUAGGACUACCCGCUGAACUUAAGC